UUCCCAUUCCGAACAGAGAAGUUAAGCCCUCCAGCGCCGAUGGUACUGCCCUGGAGACGGGGUGGGAGAGUAGGUCACCACCGGAU
rnacentral:rRNA from 1 species